rnacentral:rRNA from 1 species
UACGAAGGUCCCAAGCGUUGUUCGGAAUCACUGGGCGUAAAGGGCGCGUAGGCGGCGUGGUGCGUCAGCUGUGAAAUCCCGGGGCUCAACCCCGGAACUGCAUCCGAUACUGCCAUGCUAGAGGAUUGGAGAGGUAGCUGGAAUUCUUGGUGUAGCAGUGAAAUGCGUAGAGAUCAAGAGGAACACUCGUGGCGAAAGCGAGCUACUGGACAAUUCCUGACGCUGAGGCUCGAAGGCUAGGGGAGCGAAAGGG